GCUGAUGUGGGUCAAUGGUAGACUACUGUUUUUAAGCACAUUUUGUCAGGGAAGGCGGUUCGAUUCCGUCCAUCAGCA
rnacentral:tRNA from 1 species